rnacentral:piRNA from 1 species
UGAGUAUGUAAUAACCCUUGGGGCCGC